GGAUGAUGAUAAGACUGUGACACGGGAUGCCACCUUUGGUCUUGUGAUGAAGCAAAGCUCAGGAAGAAGUGGGAUUAAAUGGUACCCACAUGUGUGCUGCUGAGAAGGAUGUACAGGGGCACCUGCAGCCAAAUCCAAGCCUCAGAGCAGAGCAGCAGUUUGUGCUCACAGAUGGUGACGGUGUGGAGAGACGGUGGUGUUUCCUCAGAAGAACCAGCAGAGUCACAAAGGACACCAGUCCAUCUCACCACCGUGACUCGCUGACUGAUGCUCGUCUGCACUGCACAGAGGAAAUCAGCUGACCGAGGAGUGUUUCUGAGUGAGGGGGGAGGAGUCAUCAUCCAGAUGGGCAGCAUAUCAGUCUUGGACUGUCUAACCUGCCGGAGCAGCACUGAAUAACCACCGCACAUGAGCAUGUUCCUGCAACAUUCAGCAUCUGAUCCUUCAUCUGUGUGCGUCUGCUUUUGUGUCACAUGUCAAACAGCUGGAGAGGAAACUACACCAGUGUACUGGGAUGUUUCAGCAACACGUGCCAGAUGCUGUUCCUUCAUGGUGACAUCACCAGAGACAGCCCCGCCCACCUCAGGACCUCGCCAUUGAUCAUGAUGAUUAUAAUGAUGACAGCGAGCAGAACUAAGACUGUAAAAAUCCACGACCAGAAUUUUUCUUUCUAAUUAUUCAUGAAUACUGAGAGCCUCUUUCUGUGUUUUGUCUGUUUUGGGGUUGUU